rnacentral:rRNA from 1 species
UUGGUGCCAGCAGCCGCGGUAAUACCGACUCCAAGAGUGUGUAUGAGAGAUGCUGCAGUUAAAAAGUCCGUAGUCAUAGAAGGGCAAAGAGAGAUGCGAGGUCUCACAGUGCGAUGAUGGAGGAGCCGAUGGGGAACAUAGUAUACCAGGGCGAGAGAUGAAAUGCCAAGACCCCUGGUGGACUGAGCGAGGCGAAGGCGAUGUUCUUGUAGGCAUUCGGUGAUCAAGGACGAAGGCUGGAGUAUCGAAAGUGAUUAGAUACCGCAGUAGUUCCAGCAGUAAAAGAUGCCGACAUGCUCAUUGGACACAGUGGGCAGGGAGAAAUCUUAGAGUUCGGGCUCUGGGGAUAGUAUGCUCGCAAGGGUGAAAAUUAAAGAAAUUGACGGAGCUACACCACAAGGAGUGGAUUGUGCGGCUUAAUUUGACUCAACGCGAGGAAACUUACCAGGGCCAAGUAUUGUGUAGAAACGAGCAAUACAGGAGUGGUGCAUGGUCGUUGGAAAUUGAUGGGAUGACUUUGACCUUAAAUGGUUGAAUGAGUGAGAUCUUUUGGACAUGUUCCGCACGGAACAGGAAGGAAAAGGCUAUAACAGAUCCGAGAUGCCCUCAGAUGCCCUGGGCUGCACGCGCAAUACAAUAGCAGGUAGAGAGAGAGACAGGAAGGUGCUCAGAUGGACUAUGUGCUGUAAGGCACAUACGAAAGAGGAA